rnacentral:rRNA from 1 species
GACGAAGCGAGCGAACGUUGUUCGGAAUCACUGGGCUUAAAGGGCGCGUAGGCGGGCUGCCAAGUCCGUGGUGAAAUCCCCCGGCUCAACCGGGGAAGGGCCUCGGAUACUGGCGGCCUCGAGGGGGGUAGGGGCGUGCGGAACUGUGGGUGGAGCGGUGAAAUGCGUUGAUAUCCACAGGAACUCCGGUGGCGAAGGCGGCGCGCUGGACCCCAUCUGACGCUGAGGCGCGAAAGCCAGGGGAGCGAACGGG